rnacentral:rRNA from 1 species
UGGGGAAUAUUGGGCAAUGGGGGAAACCCUGACCCAGCAACGCCGCGUGAAGGAAGAAGGUUUUCGGAUCGUAAACUUCUAUCCUUGGUGAAGAGAAGAAGACGGUAGCCAAGAAGGAAGCCCCGGCUAACUACGUGCCAGCAGCCGCGGUAAUACGUAGGGGGCAAGCGUUAUCCGGAUUUAUUGGGUUUAAAGGGAGCGUAGGCGGAUGUUUAAGUCAGUUGUGAAAGUUUGCGGCUCAACCGUAGAAUUGCAGUUGAUACUGGACAUCUUGAGUGCAGUAAAGGUGGGCGGAAUUCGUGGUGUAGCGGUGAAAUGCUUAGAUAUCACGAAGAACUCCAAUUGCGAAGGCAGCUUGCUGGACUGUAACUGACGCUGAUGCUCGAAAGCGUGGGGAGCAAACA